GUCCUGAAAAGUGAGUGGUUCAAACCACUGAAGUUUAUCUGAGACGUGAUUAUUCCUGGUUAAAAACUUAACCCAAUACCCCGCCUGGAUGACUUGAAAUACAGUCAGCCAAGGCAAUUUUUGUUAGUCUCUCAAGAGA